rnacentral:rRNA from 1 species
AUGAGUUUUUUGCUCCUUCUCAAUAGCUAUCCAAAGUACCAUCUAACUGGAAUUAACCGAUGCAAGUCGAAGAAGGAUUGGCCGGUGCUGCCGGCUGGCAUCAAGUUCGAUCCCACGGAUCAGGAGCUGAUCGAGCACCUUGAGGCCAAAGUGACUGCUGACAGCGCGAGAUCUCACCCUCUCAUCGAUUUGUUCAUACCAACCAUCGACAGCGAGCACGGCAAAUGCUACACCCAUCCUGAGAAAUUUCCAGACCUGGGUGUUCAAAAGGGGCACGUGGACGCGUCGCAAGAUACAGUCGGAGUGCGGCAUGCACGCGAUGUGGCACAACACCAGGUCAUGGUCAACGGCCGGCAGACGGGCAGCAAAAAGGUUCUGGUGUUGCACACCAACAAGAACUUCGACCAGCAGAGGACCAACUGGGUGAUGCACCAGUACCACCUCGGGGACCUGGAGCAAGAGAAGGAGCGGGAGCUGGUCGACCAAGUUUCAACUGGGCUGUAG